rnacentral:rRNA from 1 species
UGGGGAAUCUUCCGCAAUGGACGAAAGUCUGACGGAGCAACGCCGCGUGAGUGAAGACGGCCUUCGGGUUGUAAAGCUCUGUGAUCCGGGACGAAAGAGCCUGAGGUGAAUAGCCUAAGGAAGUGACGGUACCGGAAAAGCAAGCCACGGCUAACUACGUGCCAGCAGCCGCGGUAAUACGUAGGUGGCAAGCGUUGUCCGGAAUUAUUGGGCGUAAAGCGCGCGCAGGCGGCUUCCUAAGUCCAUCUUAAAAGUGCGGGGCUUAACCCCGUGAUGGGAUGGAAACUGGAAAGCUGGAGUAUCGGAGAGGAAAGUGGAAUUCCUAGUGUAGCGGUGAAAUGCGUAGAGAUUAGGAAGAACACCGGUGGCGAAGGCGACUUUCUGGACGAAAACUGACGCUGAGGCGCGAAAGCGUGGGGAGCAAACAGG